rnacentral:rRNA from 1 species
CGUACAAGGUUUCCGUAGGUGAACCUGCGGAAGGAUCAUUAUUGAUUGGUCGAAAGACCUUAUCAGAUUCUACCACCUCUGUGAACCGUUGACCUCCGGGUUAAUAAUCAAACAUCAGUGUAACGAACGUAAGAGUAUCUUAAUUAAACAAAACUUUUAACAACGGAUCUCUUGGCUCUCGCAUCGAUGAAGAACGCAGCGAAAUGCGAUAAGUAAUGUGAAUUGCAGAAUUCAGUGAAUCAUCGAAUCUUUGAACGCACCUUGCGCCUUUUGGUAUUCCGAAAGGCAUGCCUGUUUCAGUGUCAUGAAAUCUCAAUCUAAUAUGUUUUCUGAACAUGUUAGGCUUGGACUUGGGUGUCUGCCAGCAAUGGCUCACCUCAAAUGACUUAGUGGAACAUCCCACAUCAGUGUUAGACGUAAUAAGUUUCGUCUCUCCUUGUGGUGAUGACUGCUCAAAACCUGCCAUCGCGCACCUUUUGACUUUGACCUGAAAUCAGGUAGGGCUACCCGCUGAACUUAA